rnacentral:rRNA from 1 species
UGGGGAAUAUUGGACAAUGGGCGAAAGCCUGAUCCAGCAAUGCCGCGUGUGUGAAGAAGGCCUUCGGGUUGUAAAGCACUUUCAGUAGUGAAGAAGGAUGUAUAGUUAAUACCUGUAUGUUUUGACGUUAGCUACAGAAGAAGCACCGGCUAACUCUGUGCCAGCAGCCGCGGUAAUACAGAGGGUGCAAGCGUUAAUCGGAAUUACUGGGCGUAAAGGGUGUGUAGGUGGUUGGAUAAGUUAGAUGUGAAAUCCCCGGGCUUAACCUGGGAACUGCGUUUAAAACUGUUUAACUAGAGUGCUGUAGAGGAUAGUGGAAUUUCCAGUGUAGCGGUGAAAUGCGUAGAUAUUGGAAGGAACACCAGUGGCGAAGGCGACUAUCUGGACAGACACUGACACUGAGACACGAAAGCAUGGGGAGCAAACAGG